UUCCUACGGGAGGCAGCAAUGGGGGAUAUUGCACAAUGGGGGGAACCCUGAUGCAGCGACGCCGCGUGGGUGAAGGAGUGCUUCGGCAUGUAAAGCCCUAUCGGCAGGGAAGAAGCAAGACGGUACCUGACUAAGAAGCCCCGGCUAACUACGUGCCAGCAGCCGCGGUAAUACGUAGGGGGCGAGCGUUGUCCGGAAUCACUGGGCGUAAAGGGCGCGUAGGCGGUUUAAUAAGUCAGUGGUGAAAACUGAGGGCUCAACCCUCAGCCUGCCACUGAUACUGUUAGACUUGAGUAUGGAAGAGG
rnacentral:rRNA from 1 species